CCUACGGGAGGCAGCAGUGGGGAAUCUUGCACAAUGGAGGAAACUCUGAUGCAGCGAUGCCGCGUGAGUGAAGAAGGCCUUUGGGUUGUAAAGCUCUUUUGUAGGGGAAGAUAAUGACUGUACCCUAAGAAUAAGGUCCGGCUAACUUCGUGCCAGCAGCCGCGGUAAU
rnacentral:rRNA from 1 species